rnacentral:rRNA from 1 species
UACGAAGGGGGCUAGCGUUGUUCGGAAUUACUGGGCGUAAAGGGCGCGUAGGCGGUCCUGAUCGUCGGAUGUGAAAGGCCUGGGCUCAACCUGGGAAUGGCAUCCGAUACGGCGGGACUGGAGUGUGGGAGAGGUUGGUGGAAUUCCCAGUGUAGAGGUGAAAUUCGUAGAUAUUGGGAAGAACACCGGUGGCGAAGGCGGCAUCCUGGACCGGUAUUGACGCUGAUGCGCGAAAGCCAGGGGAGCAAACGGG